rnacentral:rRNA from 1 species
CACGGGGGGAGCAAGCGUUGUUCGGAAUCACUGGGCGUAAAGGGUGUCUAGGCGGUCAGGUAAGUGAGAUGUGAAAUGCCCCGGCUUACCCGGGGACCUGCAUCUCAUACUGCCUGGCUUGAGUAUGGGAGAGGAUGAGGGAAUUCCUGGUGUAGCGGUGAAAUGCGCAGAUAUCAGGAGGAACACCGGUGGCGAAGGCGGGUUGCUGGGCUGACACGUGACGCUGAUGCGCGAAAGCCAGGGGAGCGAACGGGAUUGAAGAGUACCCGU